UGCAAGUCGAGCGAAUCGACGGGAGCUUGCUCCCUGAGAUUAGCGGCGGACGGGUGAGUAACACGUGGGCAACCUGCCUAUAAGACUGGGAUAACUUCGGGAAACCGGAGCUAAUACCGGAUACGUUCUUUUCUCGCAUGAGAGAAGAUGGAAAGACGGUUUACGCUGUCACUUAUAGAUGGGCCCGCGGCGCAUUAGCUAGUUGGUGAGGUAAUGGCUCACCAAGGCGACGAUGCGUAGCCGACCUGAGAGGGUGAUCGGCCACACUGGGACUGAGACACGGCCCAGACUCCUACGGGAGGCAGCAGUAGGGAAUCUUCCGCAAUGGACGAAAGUCUGACGGAGCAACGCCGCGUGAACGAAGAAGGCCUUCGGGUCGUAAAGUUCUGUUGUUAGGGAAGAACAAGUACCAGAGUAACUGCUGGUACCUUGACGGUACCUAACCAGAAAGCCACGGCUAACUACGUGCCAGCAGCCGCGGUAAUACGUAGGUGGCAAGCGUUGUCCGGAAUUAUUGGGCGUAAAGCGCGCGCAGGUGGUUCCUUAAGUCUGAUGUGAAAGCCCACGGCUCAACCGUGGAGGGUCAUUGGAAACUGGGGAACUUGAGUGCAGAAGAGGAAAGUGGAAUUCCAAGU
rnacentral:rRNA from 1 species